rnacentral:lncRNA from 1 species
CCAGUCCCUGGAGCAGUGGCUGGCACUCAGGAGGACCUCACCUGUCAGAGCACAGGAGCCUGGAGGGCCAUUGAAGAGGAGAGGAGCCUGUACGCCCUGUUUCAAGAACCUGAGAGCUGGGCUCAGAAACGGGCAGCGGCUGGACCAAGGUCACACAGCAAGUUGGUUGCUCAGCCAGAGUCAGCACAGGGCGGGGUGAACUCCAAAGCCCCGGGGCCCCAGUGAGGGGGUAGCAUGAGCCAGGUGGAGACUGGGGCAAGGUAGAAACCUCCAGGGCUAGCCAGAGGGAGUGGCCACGAUGCAGCAUCACUGGACUGUAGCCAUAUGGGGGGCGGGCACAGGCCUGAGUAGUGAGGGGGAUCUUCCUGGCCUGCCUUAUACUCGUGUCCCCACAAAAUCCCCCUACAGCCCAGGAGUCACAGGUACCGCCUGGGGGGUCAGCACCGUCCAUGCACAGUGUGUGUGUUGUGCACUGUACAAAGGCACUCACUGAAGAGGCAGUGGGGGUGAUCCCAGGCCUUGCUUGACUACUCAUCCUGGAAGAACUGAUUUUCAUAAUGUAUCCACCCAAAGGGCUCUUUUUUCUUUUCUUUUCUCUUCCUUUCUUGCUCUCUUUCUUUCUAUAUGGCCUUGCUCUGUCACUCAGGCUGGAGUGCAGUGGUGCAAUCAUGGCUUGCUGCAGCCUCAACCUCCCAGGCUCAGGUGAUCCUCCUGCCUCAGCCUCCCGAGUAGCUGGGAUUACAGGUAUGUGCCACCACACCCAACUAGUUUUUAAAAUUUUUUGUAGAGAUGGGGUCUUGCUCUGUUGCCCAGGCUGGUCUUGAAGUCCUGGGCUCAAGAGUCCUGGACUCUUGGUGUUCCCAAAUGCUGGGAUUACAGGCCUGAGCCACCGCGCCCAGCCUGGGGCCUCUUUUUUCUAAUUCCCGCAUGGUGCUGGGUCAGUUUGCGACCCCUAAGAAGCAGAUGCCCAGGUGAGAUUAGACAUGCAGGAGGCUGACUGGGGGAAAGGGCUCUGGGGGGAAAAGGAACGGCGAGGGGGAAGGGAAAUCCUUCAAGCCGUCGUGCUGGGCCAGCCCCUGUGCAGGAGAGAGGGAGGGAAUGAAGUUGGAGUAGGAGGAGCUUCAGGCUGCAGACAGUUCUAAGGUUUUUGCCCCGGCCAAUGGGGAGUCCUGAGGCCAAGAUCCCCUCCCGGAGGGUCCCGCAUGGCGCUGGGAUGGACCUGCCUUUAUUUCCCUUCCUGCUUGCUCAGUGGCAGGAAGCACCCAUGGGGAGCUUGGCGUAACGCAGGUGCAGGUGAUUUAGAGCCCGGCACCUGCCAUACACGCCCCGAGGGGGCCACUUGCAAGGUCACCACAUGUGCCCAUGAAUAUGUUAUUUGCUAGUAGACAAAGUAACUACUAUGUUAGUUAUUUGCUGGAGGCACCCCUGUGCGGGAAGACAGAGUUGGAAACAGUCUUUGUACAAGCCUAAGAGUUCUUUGAGGCAGGGUAGCCGUGCAAGCAGUUUUGCAUUCUGUAUCAUAAUAAAUCUGAAAUUGUUGGCCGGGUGCGGUGGCUCACGCCUGAAAUCCUAGCACUUUGGGAGGCUAAGGCAGGUGGAUCGCUUCAGCUCAGGAAUUCAGCUCAGGACUUUGAGACCACCCUGGGCAACAUGGUGAAACCCUAUCUCUACAAAAAAUACAAAAAUUAGCUGGGUAUGGUGGCAUGUGUCUAUAGUUCCAGCUGACUGGGGAUCUGAGGUGAGAGGAUCAUGUGAGCCCAGGAGGUUGAGGCUGCGGUGAGCCGUGAUUGCGCCACUGCACUCUAGCCUGGGUGACAAAGUGAAACCCUGUCUCAAAAACAUAAAAAUAAAUAAAUACAUCUGAAAUUGUUGCAACAUAAAAAUCGUUUUCUCGCUGUUGUCCUUGAAACUUUCCCUACGCUAUGGUAUGUCGGCCUUCUGCCCGAGGGGGGUACAUGGUCUUGUACAAUGUAUCUGUUUCUCAUUGUUGUGUGACACAUUGCCACAGACUUAGUGGCUUAAAACAACACCCAUUUAUUCUCUUACACUUAUGGAGGUCAGAGGUCCAAAAUGAGUCUCAUGGGAUUAAAAUCAAGGGUUGACAGGGCUGGUUCCUUCCAGAAGCUCCAGAGGAGGAUCUGUUCCUUGCUUCUCCCAGCUCCUGAGGCCACCUGCAUUCCUUGGGCUGUUACCCCUUUUUCCAUCUUAAUCAUCAACAUAGCACGUCUGUCCUCUCUGAACUGUCUCCCUUUUAUAGGGCCCUGUGUGAUUCUGCUGACCCAUCUGGAUAACCCAGGGUCAUCUCCCCGGCUCAAGAUCCUUAACAGAAUCGCAUCUGCCAAGUCCCUUUUGCUAGGCCUGCUCCUUCUGGGAGUCCACAGUUCCUGCUCCUAUGUGGGCAGCAUCCGUUCUCCUGUUGCUGGUACCAGCUUCCCUCCUGCUCUCAGACCACCUGCCACAGGCCAAGCUGACCAUCCUCCCCUCCUCCCCAG